AGAGAGCGGUGAACGAUAGUUCUAGAAAAUGUGUUGCUAAAUCUCCGCCAAAUGACUACGCUCGCAUUUGGUGACAACGGCACACAGUCGCAAGAACUUGUGGAGGAAAUACCGGAGUUCUGGCAGCUUCAGGUGCACUAGAUCAUUCAGUAACAUGGGCGGCUUUGUAGUUCUACCUCACAUCAGAGCAAACUGCACUCGACAGAAAUAAAGGGCAGCCGCACCGUUAUAGCUAAGCAAAUUAAGGACAAUUACGCCGCGUCUUCACACUUCGAGCAUGCUCCGACAGCCCCCCGAUAGAUAUUUCAAACGUAACCACGCUCGGACGGGCAAAUUUUGCUUCUGCCAAGUGAACGUAGCGGGCAUUUCAACACGCGUGUUAAAUUCAUGGCUGUUUCAUUCGUGAACAUUACUUAAGUGACGUAAAAUUAUCAGUGAGCAAAACAGUUUUUAUUUCAACGCGAGGAAACAAAACCGAAACUAGCGCAACUGUUUUGCUCAGUUGUGCAGAUACAAAAUGAUCCAAAGCCGAAGCCGUCAAUAGCAUGACGCCAUUUUAAAGUUGCGCUGUAUCACGCGCGAGUGCGUUGUCGUUGAGUGGUUCUGAAAUCGCUGCGUUAGGGGCGACUGCAACCAAGCGUUGCGGCAAGUUACGGUGGGAGCUUCUGUCCGUGCUGUGUGAUUGCGACGAGGGGACCGCCGCCAGCAGCAGCGUAUCGCCGAUUUCGUCUUUCGGUUUGCACUGCAUCUUUCAUUGUGAUAUGGGAGAUCGCAACGGACAGAGACGACCAGAUGCAUACGAACCACUACCAGCGGGGACCUGUGACCUGUGCCAUAUUUCUCUUAACGUCUCAGGUAUUCAAGAAAUGCCAACAUCCAGAAGACGCCAUCUUAUCCAGCACGUUAUGGGUACACUCUGGUGGCUCCCGCCCUUGCAUCCUACCACCACUGUGUCCUGACUACGUCCACUAGAGAGUUCGAAGCCUUUGGCGGCUCCUGCCACCACCGUGUCCUGACUACGUCCACUAGGGAGUUGGCAGCCUUCGUGAUGAUGCCAAGCAGGCUGGAAGCCGACAGAAAGAUUAAGGUUGCCUCGAAAUUUUACCAAAGCCGUACCACACACUCGGGCAAGGCCUUUUUGCAAAUGGCGUAUAACCAGGCUCAACGCAUGAGUGUCGAGUGAGUCUGGAGAUCAAGGCAACCUGCUGUCCAACCAGCAUGCAACCUCUGGUGGCCCCUCUACAGGUUCCACCUAUUUCACAGCUGUACCUCCGCCGCAACUUAUCCAAACAGCAUCACCAACUGUGGUCACUCAUCGAACCAUGGAUGAAUGUUGGGGUGGAGUGAUUUGAAGAGACAUUCUAUUUGUCUCUUCAAAUUCUUAGCAAAUACUUGUGUUAUUAUAAUUAAUAUGUGUCUUUA